AUGUUCUCUGUAGCUCUGAUGCUGCUGCUGGCAGCUGGAUCCUGUGUGUACAGUAUUGAUCUCAUCCAGCCAGACUCAAUGGUUGUGCAGCCUGGACAGUCUUUGACCAUCACCUGUCAGGUCUCUGGUUAUUCUCUGACUGAUAACAGCUAUGCAACAGGUUGGAUCAGACAGCGUGAAGGAAAACCAAUGAACUGGAUUUUUUAUCAGUGGGGAGGAGGUGACUUUUACCAAAAUAAUGCUCUGAAGAACAAGUUCAGCUACAGCAGAGACACUUCUGCUAUAGAACAGUGA